rfam:Triticum aestivum genome assembly, contig: Triticum_aestivum_CS42_TGACv1_scaffold_131649_2BL
UUCCUACUCCCUCCGUCCAAAAAUACUUGUCAUUGAAAUGGAUGUAUCUAGAUUUAUUUUAGUUCUAGAUACAUCCAUUUUCAUCCAUUUUGAUGACAGGUAAUUCCGGACGGAGGGAGUACCUA